rnacentral:rRNA from 1 species
GACAGAGGUGCCAAGCGUUAGGCGGAAUCACUGGGCUUAAAGCGUGUGUAGGCGGAAUUGUAAGUACCUUGUGAAAUCCCACGGCUCAACCGUGGAACUGCUCGGUAUACUGCUUUUCUUGAGCCACUUAGGGGCUGUCGGAACAAACGGUGGAGCGGUGAAAUGCGUAGAUAUUGGGAGGAACACCAGUGGCGAAGGCGGCUCGCUGGACCGGUUCUGACGCUGAGGCGCGAAAGCGUGGGGAGCAAACAGG